rnacentral:lncRNA from 1 species
CUUAAGUACCAGAGGCCAAAAAGCCAGUGGAUGAAAAAGUUGCUGUUGUUUCUGUCCCAGAGAAAAAGGAACUUCCUGCUCCCAAAGAACCAGAGGAAGUUAAGAAGCCUGCUGCUGCUCCUUCACCACUGGCUGAGAAGGCUGAAGUGCCAAAGAAAGAUGAGCCCAAGCCCCAAGUUCCAGCAGAGCCCAAAAAAGUGGCACCGGCAGCUAAGCCUGAGCCUAAACCCAAGCCAGAACUGAAACAAGAACCUGAACCAAAGCCUAAAUCCACACCAGCUCCAAAACUGGAACCUGAAGCCAAGGCUGCAGCUAAGAUUGAGCCAGAGCCAGAAGCUAAGCCAGUGCCAGUAAAGAAGCCAGUGACACCACCAUCCAAAGUCCCCAAAGAGGCUGCAAAACCAGAACCAGCUGAGAUCAAGCCUGAACCUGAAGUAAUUGAACCAGAACCAGAAGCUCCAAAACCGGAACCAGAAAAACCAAAAGUGCAUAUAUCUGAGCCUUCUGUAGCAAAGCCAGAACCUGCUGUUCCGAAGCCAGAACCUGCUGUUCCGAAGCCAGAACCUGCUGUUCCGAAACCAGAACCUGCUGUUCCGAAACCAGAACCUGCUGUUCCGAAACCAGAACCUGCUGUUCCAAAACCAGAACCUGCAGUGAUUCCCAAACCUAAACUGCCAGAGAAAAG